GACGAACGCUGGCGGCGUGCUUAACACAUGCCAGUCGAACGGAAAGGCCCUGCUUUUGUGGGGUGCUCGAGUGGCGAACGGGUGAGUAACACGUGAGUAACCUGCCCUUGACUUUGGGAUAACUUCAGGAAACUGGGGCUAAUACCGGAUAGGAGCUCCUGCUGCAUGGUGGGGGUUGGAAAGUUUCGGCGGUUGGGGAUGGACUCGCGGCUUAUCAGCUUGUUGGUGGGGUAGUGGCUUACCAAGGCUUUGACGGGUAGCCGGGCUGGGAGGGUGACCGGCCACAUUGGGACUGAGAUACGGCACAGACUCCUACGGGAGGCAGCAGUGGGGAAUAUCGUACAAUGGGCGGAAGCCUGAUGCAGCAACGCCGCGUGCGGGAUGAGGGCCUUCGGGUUGUAAAGCGCUUUCGCCUGUGACGAAGCGUGAGUGACGGUAAUGGGUAAAGAAGCACCGGCUAACUACGUG
rnacentral:rRNA from 1 species